rnacentral:rRNA from 1 species
AGCGAACGCUGGCGGCAGGCUUAACACAUGCGAGUCGAGCGGGCGUAGCAAUACGUCCGCGGCAGACGGGUGCGUAACGCGUGGGAACGUACCUUUUGGUUCGGAACAACACAGGGAAACUUGUGCUAAUACCGGAUAAGCCCUUACGGGGAAAGAUUUAUCGCCGAAAGAUCGGCCCGCGUCUGAUUAGCUAGUUGGUGAGGUAACGGCUCACCAAGGCGACGAUCAGUAGCUGGUCUGAGAGGAUGAUCAGCCACAUUGGGACUGAGACACGGCCCAAACUCCUACGGGAGGCAGCAGUGGGGAAUAUUGGACAAUGGGGGCAACCCUGAUCCAGCCAUGCCGCGUGAGUGAUGAAGGCCCUAGGGUUGUAAAGCUCUUUUGUGCGGGAAGAUAAUGACGGUACCGCAAGAAUAAGCCCCGGCUAACUUCGUG